GAUGAACGCUAGCUACAGGCUUAACACAUGCAAGUCGAGGGGCAGCAUGGUCUUAGCUUGCUAAGGCCGAUGGCGACCGGCGCACGGGUGAGUAACACGUAUCCAACCUACCGUCUACUCUUGGACAGCCUUCUGAAAGGAAGAUUAAUACAAGAUGGCAUCAUGAGUCCGCAUGUUCACAUGAUUAAAGGUAUUCCGGUAGACGAUGGGGAUGCGUUCCAUUAGAUAGUAGGCGGGGUAACGGCCCACCUAGUCUUCGAUGGAUAGGGGUUCUGAGAGGAAGGUCCCCCACAUUGGAACUGAGACACGGUCCAAACUCCUACGGGAGGCAGCAGUGAGGAAUAUUGGUCAAUGGGCGAGAGCCUGAACCAGCCAAGUAGCGUGAAGGAUGACUGCCCUAUGGGUUGUAAACUUCUUUUAUAAAGGAAUAAAGUCGGGUAUGCAUACCCGUUUGCAUGUACUUUAUGAAUAAGGAUCGGCUAACUCCGUGCCAGCAGCCGCGGUAAUACGGAGGAUCCGAGCGUUAUCCGGAUUUAUUGGGUUUAAAGGGAGCGUAGAUGGAUGUUUAAGUCAGUUGUGAAAGUUUGCGGCUCAACCGUAAAAUUGCAGUUGAUACUGGAUAUCUUGAGUGCAGUUGAGGCAGGCGGAAUUCGUGGUGUAGCGGUGAAAUGCUUAGAUAUCACGAAGAACUCCGAUUGCGAAGGCAGCCUGCUAAGCUGCAACUGACAUUGAGGCUCGAAAGUGUGGGUAUCAAACAGGAUUAGAUACCCUGGUAGUCCACACGGUAAACGAUGAAUACUCGCUGUUUGCGAUAUACAGCAAGCGGCCAAGCGAAAGCGUUAAGUAUUCCACCUGGGGAGUACGCCGGCAACGGUGAAACUCAAAGGAAUUGACGGGGGCCCGCACAAGCGGAGGAACAUGUGGUUUAAUUCGAUGAUACGCGAGGAACCUUACCCGGGCUUAAAUUGCAGAUGAAUUACGGUGAAAGCCGUAAGCCGCAAGGCAUCUGUGAAGGUGCUGCAUGGUUGUCGUCAGCUCGUGCCGUGAGGUGUCGGCUUAAGUGCCAUAACGAGCGCAACCCUUGUUGUCAGUUACUAACAGGUUCCGCUGAGGACUCUGACAAGACUGCCAUCGUAAGAUGUGAGGAAGGUGGGGAUGACGUCAAAUCAGCACGGCCCUUACGUCCGGGGCUACACACGUGUUACAAUGGGGGGUACAGAGGGCCGCUACCACGCGAGUGGAUGCCAAUCCCAAAAACCUCUCUCAGUUCGGACUGGAGUCUGCAACCCGACUCCACGAAGCUGGAUUCGCUAGUAAUCGCGCAUCAGCCACGGCGCGGUGAAUACGUUCCCGGGCCUUGUACACACCGCCCGUCAAGCCAUGGGAGCCGGGGGUACCUGAAGUGCGUAACCGCGAGGAGCGCCCUAGGGUAAAACUGGUGACUGGGGCUAAGUA
rnacentral:rRNA from 1 species